rnacentral:lncRNA from 1 species
UGAUUUUUGUAUAUAUUUCAGCAUACAAAAUUAAUGGGAGAUCUAAGAGCAUGCCUUUUGAUCCCUAGAUGCAAAAGGAUCAUAACGAGGUUAAGUCAUUGUAGACACAGAGGAUAAUCUCAUGGAAAAUCCUCAUGCCACUCUAUGCAUAUGAUCAGAGGAUAAUCAUAAUAAAAGAAAAUCCCCCCAUAUCACAUUGUAAGAGCUCGUUGCCUUUUCUCUCUCUCGUUUUCACUCUCUGUAUUUUCUAAUAUGUUCUACGUAUUUUUUUUUUAUCUCUCACACACUUGUAUUUUAGAUAGAGUAGGUGUGCUUAUAUAGAAGCUAAAAAGAGUGAUUGAAGUUAACCAAAAGACUUCGUAACUCUUAAGUCCAAUUAGACUUACAACAAUCAUAUGGAACUCUAUCUAAAAGAGGCUUCUAGAUGUUCUUUAUAUUGGACAAGGAGCCAUGCCCGGGAAAAAUUUCCAAUUCAGUAGCAAAGUAGGCAAUGAAUUCAGCUUGUCCUUUUAUAAACCUUAUCCUGACAACUUCUCCUUUGUGGUCAUCUAAUUUGGAGACUAUUCACCAUAGUACAUGUCUUUCUCUAAAUGAGAAUAAUCUUUCUCUUAUCUUUGUCGGGUUUUAAUAAAG